UAGUUAUUGUGAUAUUGGCUUGGUUCACUCAGACAAAUACUGCACUUUUGUUUUUUCUGAGUGUGGGUUUUGGUUUUGAUUGAGCCGUGCCAAUAUCUCACUGCUAUUU
rfam:Lupinus angustifolius cultivar Tanjil chromosome LG18, whole genome shotgun sequence.